rnacentral:rRNA from 1 species
UACAGAGGGGGCAAGCGUUGUUCGGAAUUACUGGGCGUAAAGGGCGCGUAGGCGGCCUUCUAAGUCGAACGUGAAAUCCCCGGGCUCAACCCGGGAACUGCGUCCGAUACUGGAAGGCUUGAAUCCGGGAGAGGGAUGCGGAAUUCCAGGUGUAGCGGUGAAAUGCGUAGAUAUCUGGAGGAACACCGGUGGCGAAGGCGGCGAUCCUGGACCGGUAGUUGACGCUGAGGCGCGAAAGCCAGGGAGCAAAGCGGG